CACGGUUACCAGCCGGAGCCUCAAAUCAUGUCCCUUUGUGGUGAUAUAGAGGACACAGCCUGGUGUGAAGCUACAUUUAUUACGGAAGGAUGCCAGCCGGGAUCCGAACACGUCCGAUAUCAUCCAAGAGAAUGUGGCAGCUGAAGGGGGAGAGGCCAAGAAAGAGGCCAAGGGUGAAGACAUUUAGCCACCCCCCCUGAAGUACAUGGCAUCAUUCAACCCUCUUGGUGAGCUGCAGGAAUGUGCUUCCCAUUGCAGUGCACCAGCUCCAUGUACUGAUUUUGGUGUGAACUUGAUGGGGUUGGAGGAAACUCGACUCGGCCAUCAAGCUCACCACAAUAUAACAUGAAAAGUGAAAAUUGCUGCACACACCAGUCUGUCGUCUGCACCGGGAGGCAAGACAAAUCCUGGGCAGUUUUUGCCCAGAGCCAGCAAUUUUUUAGAUCCAAUAGGGAUGGAUUUUUUCUGAGGUCAGGUUCAACAUGCUGCAAGAUGCCAAGAUCUAAGCCUAGUAGGAGAUAUGGGUUACAAGAGAGGAGGUUUGCUCUGGCCUUAUACUAUCAAAGUCCAAAUGCUAAUAGAUUUCUGAGCACAGUAUUUCACUUGUCUUCAGUUUCAACACUUCACUCAUGACUCAGGGGUAUUUCAGUACAUGUUGGCUGGAGCAAACAGACUCUGUCAGCCCUGCAACAAAGAGCACAGGCUUUGUCAAAAGAAGAGAAACUUCGUGGGAUUUGCCAUUAUUUAGUAUUACUCUUGUUACGCCAAGAAUUUUUUUCCAUAUACUUUGCCAAAUAUUGCAAGUAAUGCACCAUUGUUGGGCUUGCUUGUUAUAAAUCAGAUCUUGUUCAUUUAACAAGCUUUGGGUGUCUGCCACUUUCCAGUUGUAAUGCAAGGAAUCAUUUAUCUUCCCUGCUAGAUAUCACACGUAAUGCACCAUUGUUGGUUUUGCUUGUUAUAAAUCAGAUCUUGUUCAGUUAAAAAGCUUUAGGUGUCUGCCACUUUCCAAUUGUAAUGCAAGGAAUCCCCUGCCAGAUAUUGCAUGUAAUGCACCAUUGUUGGUUUUGCCUAUUAUAAAUCAGAUCUUGUUCAGCUCACAAGCUUUGAAUAUCUGCCAUUGUUUAUUUCAGGUGUAAUGCUUGGAAGCAUUUGUUCUCUUCCCUACCCAACAGUAUGCAAUGCUUUAUUGUGGAUUUUGCCUGUUAUAUUUAAUCAUGUUCAGGUAACAAGCUUUUGGUGUCUGCCUUACCUAAUAUGUCCUGCAGUGACACUUGGCUUGGUUUCAUAAUGUGAAAUACAGCAUGUAAUUUCAUCACACUAAGUGUCUAUCAUCACGUGUCUGGCAUCAUUAAUGUGGCUUCCAGGAGUAAUCUUGUUUGUAUUACAGCUUGCAAAUUUUUUUCUGCUUUAUAUGACAUACAUAAUCACAUAGGUAUGAUUUACAAAAUGUAAUGGCAGUUGAUAUUCUUGACUAAUGCCUCAUAAACCUUGUGAAAAAUAAUGCUUUUUUGAAGGGGGGGGGAGCAGAGAGUGGUUUGUUUGGUUGGCCAGUUCAAGGAGUUUCAUAUCAAAUGAUUUUAUUACAUCCAACUUUAAUGUGUGCUAAAAACAUAUAUUUUAUUACAUCCAACUUUAAUGUGUGCUAGAAACAUAUAUUUUAUUACAUCCAACUUUAAUGUGUGGUUCCUGCAAUAAAUGCUACAUGUUUGAUGUAGCCUAUGAAAUACAUCACUCUCUGCCCUGUAAUUUGGUGUGUCACAUACUGCAGCAUAACUUUCCUGCUAUUUUCUUACACUAUGAGUUGCCUUAUUUUGUCUCAUUUGCUUUUAUCAUAUGUGCCUCUGCUGCAUAGUUGUGCCUACUGAGCUUAAUAUCUUCAUGACCCUGACACCAAGGUCAGAGCCUGUGAGAUCAUACCGUGUCCUACAUUCCAUUUUCACCUCCAGGCUCGCCUGUCUCCCAGGACCACCAAGUUAUUGCAUUCCAUUUAAGACAACUCAUGUGUUACCUUCUUAAUGUCCUCUAUGAUGUAUUUCAGCAUGUUUUAUGAUGCUUUGCUCUUAUAUUGAUGUGCCUUGCAACAUUUUUAUACUGUUUUCAUUGUAUAUAACACACCAUUGUUGGUUUUGCCUGUUAUAAAUUGGGUCAUGUUCAGUUAACAAGCUUUGAGUGUCUCCCAUUGUUUAUUUCAGUUGUAAUGCUUAGAAGCUUUUGUUCUCUGCCCUGUCAAGCAGUAUGCAAUGCUUGCCAUUAUCUGGCACUUGUACAGUUAGUAUGAUAUUUUUACUCAGCUAAGAGCAUUUUG